GUCGUCGGUGUAGCGGUAGCAGAUGCUGUCCGUCGGGCAGUACGGCGUCUUGCCGGGAGCCUCGUACUUCUGGUUCCACGCCGGGUAGACGGUG
rnacentral:tRNA from 1 species